CUCCGAGAAACAAAACAAUCUGAAUAUUGGCUCUUGGGGUCCCUUUUGCUCCAGAUUUUGUCAAGAAGAACACAGCUGCUAUCAAGACCAAUAUACCUCCAACGAGAGGAAGAGACAGAGGCUGCUUUGUGGCACUGUUCCCGAAGAUACUGGGUUUAUUGUUCAUCUCUUAUCAGCUCAGUCUCCACCCAAGACCAGCAAAGUUGCUUCUGAGGAGUCAUAGCAUCCACAGUGGCUGCCAGAACGACCAAGCGUAAAAGCUGAAAGCUUCGUAAAUUGUGAGUCCCGUUUCUCUCCCAUGAACAGGGCUUCCAGACGCUGCACAUUGGACCCAGGCUCUGAAUCAUUUUCACACGGCUUCACAUUUGCACAAAGAAGCAUCAGUCUUGAAAUCAGC
rnacentral:lncRNA from 1 species